UAGUUUAAUCAUAAUUCACUAUUAUUAAAGCAUUAUAUUAAUAUUUGUUUUUAUCAGCAUCGAAUGUAAAAAAGACAAAAGCACCGCUCAUGGCAAAGGCAUUACAGCUAAUAAAGGGGCGUUACAAGCGGUAGUGGAAGCGUUGAAUGCAAUUUGUAGAAAGGCAUAAAUAAUUUCCAACAGCCAUGGUAAACUUUUCUUUAGUAAGGAAUUAUAUUAACAAUUUAUAGCUGUAUAAAUUUCUUUUCUUGAAGAGUGUUUUUUUAAUCUUUGUAUAUACAGAAUGUUUCGCAACCUUCAUAUAACAUUUUAAUAGCGUUAAGAUCGUUAAAAGACUAAUCGGUAUGCGCGUAUGUAUAGUUACACAUCUAGCGCACGAAUUCUACGCGAUGUCAUUAGCAAACUUUAAUCACUCGUAAAUCAAAAACUAUUACAGCUUUAAAAUUUUUGUAAUUAGAAUUUUUUUAUUUUAUUUUAUUUCUAGAAUACGUUAUUAAAGUAUUGUACAAAGGUUGUAAGAUACUCUGUAUAUCUAGAUUCAUGAAUAGAUAGAUAUAAAAAGAUAAAUAGACGAAAUGGUUACUCAUUUUUAGAUUUAGAAAUUCUUGGGCGGACUCAUACAUAUUUUUGGAUCUUAAAUUCUUAGAUUCUUGAAGUGUAAAAUUUAUGGAUUGUAUUUUAGCAAUUCAUGUGUCAAAUAUUGAUUCGGGAACAACGUGGAAACGUAUUCCCCAUGUGUUAGAUGUUGCUGUGAUUUUGAUUUCGAUUUCUUUAGACAUUUUUAAUGUAUACAUUUUGUAAAUAUUAUAUUGUGAGACAAGAGAUAUAGGGACAACUAUAGAUAUGUAAUUAAUCAAUAUACUUUGCUUAAAUUAUGCUAUUUUGAUAUAAAGAUUUCUUAUAAUCUUCUUUUAUUAUCUCGUGGCUGAUAUAUAAAUUUAAAAUAAAAAACAAUACACACACACACACACACACGAUAUUCCAUUUACAAGAUGUGAUUUAAUUAAUGUAAACUAAUUUUUUAUUUUGCAUCUCGAAAAGUAUUAAAUUGGAAUUGAUUUAUAUAUAUAUAUUACAUAUAUAUGUAAUAUUGUAAAUAGUUUGCCAAAAAAACGUCUUUUCACUGUAUGUUAAA